rnacentral:lncRNA from 1 species
AACUGGUGCCUGGCCACGUACUGCCUCAGUCUUUUGCUCCUAAUGUGGUAGAGGGUUCCCAAGACACUGCUGAACAACAAAUCCACUAGGUUUUCUGUAUUAGACCCCGUGUAUCAGCCACCACGGGCAGGAAAAAAAGCAGACAUGUCUUGUCUUCACAGGGGGUGUGUAAGUCGUCUGUCAGAAGACAACCAGCCGUGUCGAGCCUCAAGGUCAAAGGUCAUGAAGUAGAACCAUUAUUGGGGCCAGAGUUCCUGGGCGUGUCUCAACUGACUUGUCAAAUUCCGAGGGGGUCCAGCUGAAGGGGGUCUCAGCCAGAUCACCUUAAAACACACACAUCUUAACAACUUCUUGGAAAACAAAGAACAUGUAUUUUGCCCCUUUAGGGCAUUUUUGUGGGGGAUGCCCCCCCCCCCUCCUUUUUUUUGUCUCCUCUCUCACAGUUGGAGUUGCAUGUAUCUUUGUGUUAUAAGGCCGACCUGGUUGUUCAGUCCAAUAAAAUAUGCUUUGGGCAACAGAGAAUCCAAAUAAGAAAGCCCUAGCCAAGCAAGGAUCUUAAGAGAAGACCUACAAAGCUUUAUGUUGAUUUAAGAGAAUUUCUAAAGAAAGCAACAUGCUAAGAAAAUGCCUUCGUCUGUGAAGAACAUGAAAAAGCGAUUAAUGGUUCCUCGAUCCCUCUCGGAUGAGAAAACAGUCUUUGUUAAGGAACAUUGAAAUUGUUGUUGAUCUUCUUUCCACCAUUUUAAAUUGAAUCUAAAUUGUGACUG